rnacentral:rRNA from 1 species
ACUCAAAUGAAUUGACGGGGGCCCGCACAAGCGGUGGAGCAUGUGGUUUAAUUCGAUGCAACGCGAAGAACCUUACCUGGUCUUGACAUCCACAGAACUUUCCAGAGAUGGAUUGGUGCCUUCGGCCACUGUGAGACAGGUGCUGCAUGGCUGUCGUCAGCUCGUGUUGUGAAAUGUUGGGUUAAGUCCCGCAACGAGCGCAACCCUUAUCCUUUGUUGCCAGCGGUUAGGCCGGGAACUCAAAGGAGACUGCCAGUGAUAAACUGGAGGAAAGUGGGGAUGACGUCAAGUCAUCAUGGUCCUUACGACCAGGGCUACACACGUGCUACAAUGGCAUAUACAAAGAGAAGCGACCUCGCGAGAGCAAGCGGACCUCAUAAAGUAUGUCGUAGUCCGGAUUGGAGUCUGCAACUCGACUCCAUGAAGUCGGAAUCGCUAGUAAUCGUAGAUCAGAAUGCUACGGUGAAUACGUUCCCGGGCCUUGUACACACCGCCCGUCACACCAUGGGAGUGGGUUCAAUAAGAAGUA